AGGAAGACCAGUCAGGGUCUUUGCACCACGACCAAGAGGACAAGCAGGAAGACCCGCGAGAGUCCUUGCACCACGACCACGAGGACAAGCAGGAAGACCAGCGAGAGUCCUUGCACCACGACCAAGAGGGCGAGGA